AUGCUGACCGUAACCCCCACUCGCACCCCAACUCACCCAGACCUGACAAACCAGAGGAUUCUGUACUUCCAGCCCUCUGGGCCAAAGCUUGGGCUUUUCCCAUACUUGAUUGAGAGUGGGCGAAUGAACCCAGUAACCCAGCUGACACCAACAGGAGAGCUGAAGCAACGCCCCCCCCCAAUUCCAAGUACAGACGGGAAUUGGUGGCUGCAGAAAUUCCAAACACUGAAGCAAACCUGGCAUAAGAAUAAAGGGUUUCCUUAACACUGGGACAACUAAAUUGUGACUCUGCAAAAAGGUAUGC
rnacentral:lncRNA from 1 species